GCCGCUACCACGCGAGUGGAUGCCAAUCCCCAAAACCUCUCUCAGUUCGGACUGGAGUCUGCAACCCGACUCCACGAAGCUGGAUUCGCUAGUAAUCGCGCAUCAGCCACGGCGCGGUGAAUACGUUCCCGGGCCUUGUACACACCGCCCGUCAAGCCAUGGGAGCCGGGGGUACCUGAAGUGCGUAACCGCGAGGAGCGCCCUAGGGUAAAACUGGUGACUGGGGCUAAGUCGUAACAAGGUAGC
rnacentral:rRNA from 1 species